UACGGGGGGGGCAAGCGUUGUUCGGAGUUACUGGGCGUAAAGGGUGUGUAGGCGGUUCUUUAAGUUUGGUGUGAAAUCUCCCGGCUCAACCGGGAGGGUGCGCCGAAUACUGAGGGACUAGAGUGCGGGAGAGGAAAGUGGAAUUCCUGGUGUAGCGGUGAAAUGCGUAGAUAUCAGGAGGAACACCGGUGGUGUAGACGGCUUUCUGGACCGUAACUGACGCUGAGACACGAAAGCGUGGGGUAGCAAACAGG
rnacentral:rRNA from 1 species